GUCUAUGGCCAUGCCACCCUGAACAAGCCCGAUGUCUGAUCUCAGAAGCUAAGCAGGGUCGGGCCUGGUUAGUACUUGGAUAGGAGACUACCUGGGAAGACUGGGCACUGUAGGCA
rnacentral:rRNA from 1 species